rnacentral:rRNA from 1 species
AGUCGAACGCGUUGGCCCAAUUGAUUGAUGGUGCUUGCACCUGAUUGAUUUUGGUCGCCAACGAGUGGCGGACGGGUGAGUAACACGUAGGUAACCUGCCCAGAAGCGGGGGACAACAUUUGGAAACAGAUGCUAAUACCGCAUAACAGCGUUGUUCGCAUGAACAACGCUUAAAAGAUGGCUUCUCGCUAUCACUUCUGGAUGGACCUGCGGUGCAUUAGCUUGUUGGUGGGGUAACGGCCUACCAAGGCGAUGAUGCAUAGCCGAGUUGAGAGACUGAUCGGCCACAAUGGGACUGAGACACGGCCCAUACUCCUACGGGAGGCAGCAGUAGGGAAUCUUCCACAAUGGGCGCAAGCCUGAUGGAGCAACACCGCGUGAGUGAAGAAGGGUUUCGGCUCGUAAAGCUCUGUUGUUAAAGAAGAACACGUAUGAGAGUAACUGUUCAUACGUUGACGGUAUUUAACCAGAAAGUCACGGCUAACUACGUGCCAGCAGCCGCGGUAAUACGUAGGUGGCAAGCGUUAUCCGGAUUUAUUGGGCGUAAAGAGAGUGCAGGCGGUUUUCUAAGUCUGAUGUGAAAGCCUUCGGCUUAACCGGAGAAGUGCAUCGGAAACUGGAUAACUUGAGUGCAGAAGAGGGUAGUGGAACUCCAUGUGUAGCGGUGGAAUGCGUAGAUAUAUGGAAGAACACCAGUGGCGAAGGCGGCUACCUGGUCUGCAACUGACGCUGAGACUCGAAAGCAUGGGUAGCGAACAGGAUUAGAUACCCUGGUAGUCCAUGCCGUAAACGAUGAGUGCUAGGUGUUGGAGGGUUUCCGCCCUUCAGUGCCGGAGCUAACGCAUUAAGCACUCCGCCUGGGGAGUACGACCGCAAGGUUGAAACUCAAAGGAAUUGACGGGGGCCCGCACAAGCGGUGGAGCAUGUGGUUUAAUUCGAAGCUACGCGAAGAACCUUACCAGGUCUUGACAUCUUGCGCCAACCCUAGAGAUAGGGCGUUUCCUUCGGGAACGCAAUGACAGGUGGUGCAUGGUCGUCGUCAGCUCGUGUCGUGAGAUGUUGGGUUAAGUCCCGCAACGAGCGCAACCCUUGUUACUAGUUGCCAGCAUUAAGUUGGGCACUCUAGUGAGACUGCCGGUGACAAACCGGAGGAAGGUGGGGACGACGUCAGAUCAUCAUGCCCCUUAUGACCUGGGCUACACACGUGCUACAAUGGACGGUACAACGAGUCGCGAACUCGCGAGGGCAAGCAAAUCUCUUAAAACCGUUCUCAGUUCGGACUGCAGGCUGCAACUCGCCUGCACGAAGUCGGAAUCGCUAGUAAUCGCGGAUCAGCAUGCCGCGGUGAAUACGUUCCCGGGCCUUGUACACACCGCCCGUCACACCAUGAGAGUUUGUAACACCCAAAGUCGGUGGGGUA